rnacentral:lncRNA from 11 species
GGGUUAAAAAGGGAGAUGGGAAAAUAGGACUUUUGCUGUUAGCCUCAGGCCUAUGGCAAUCUACAGCCUCCCUGGUCCAACUUUCUGGCUUGUUCUCCUCCUUCAGAAGCAAAAGAGAAGAUCUGUGGAUGAGGGGCACUUAAGGACUGACUGCUUGUCUGGGCAUUUGGGAUGAAAGAUGUCUGAAAUCAUGCCGGAGGAUGGCAAAAGCCCUGCAGGAAAGGAACUUCGGUAAGUAAACAGCAGCAAAGUGGGAAGAGAUCUGCAAAAGCAAAUUCUUGUGGGCAUUUUUGCUCUUUUGACUAGUCCACGCGUGGGCAAACUUUGGCCAUGCGUGGACUAGAGUGAUUUCAGAAGCUGUAUUUAACCUCCUUUUAACUUUCUUGGUUCUCUUCCUUCUACAGCUUGCAGCCGGCACUAGUCAACGGAAGAUGCGAGAAUCCGAUCCCGCUUCUGGACAGACUUUCCAUUACCAGGGGCAUCUGGGACCUCUGCAGUGAAGACCCGGCACAGGCUGCAGAGCUGCUCUCAGUACAACUUCCUGGGACAUUUGUUGUGAUCAGAAACGAAGCCAAAGAUGCCAGAACUUUGUUCCUUCAAACCCAAGAAAGCCAGAGCGAUGCUAUCUGCCAUUUUCCCAUUAAGGAAGACAAUUCAGGUGAGUUGAGGCACAAAUUUAAUACUUUUCCCAUCAGCUUUAGUCGGUGUCCUGGCACCGCCAACUCUUGUCCUUCCCUUCCGAAACCUUGGUUUCUUUUUCAAAGCCUACCUCAAUGGCCCUCCUGUCCCUUCUUGGACAUUUUGCAAUGCCACUUCCUUCUACUUAAAAGGGGAAGAAGAAUGGAGAAAUUACCAGAGCUCAGUCGUGGCAGGUUGAAUGCUCCUGGAGCAGAUUGUUUUUUUCAAGGGCUAUUUAGGAGAACUGGGAUUGCCUUUCUGCUUUAUAUUCUUCCAACCAGCUUGGUUUAUUUUUAAACCCAUCUUUUUUGGACGUCGUAUUAUCCCUCUGUGAGCUCAGGUAAGGGAUAUAUACUCAAAUGUUGGCUUCCAAGGACUUGUGUGGUUUCUCUCUGUCGUCUUCUAACAACCCUGCAAGGUAGGCCAUGCUGAGAGAGAAUUCAUAAUCUAAUAAUGGUAAGGAAAUGAAUGGAGACAUGAAAUGGGGGAGCAAAAAGACCUUUCCCAUCAGUAGUAAGGGUUGAACUUUGUAUCUACUGAAGAGUGAAUGAGCAUGCACUUCCAGGGCUUCCUGAUGUUUCCUGCCAAAGAAGAAUAGGGCUUUUUCUGUAUGUUAUAGAUCAGUGGUUCCCAACCUGUAGUCCGUGGACCACCAGUACUCCCCAAGAACUAAAAUAUGGUCCAUGGCCUCACCAUUACUACACCGUUGCAACAAGAGCAACUGGUCUCACGAAACCCUCUUAUAGUGCCGAGGCAAUGGGGAUGUGGGAAGGGAAAGAGGCUGACUACUCACGAAAGGUGCAACAACAAGCCUCCUGACUGCUGCUUCUCCUCCUCCUCCCUCCCCCUGAACGGAGCCGUUCUAUGUUGUUACACCUCUAGGCAGCGAGAGCACUGAAAACCAACACAGAUGCCAAUAACAAUAAUAUCUUUAUUAAAGCAAGUAAAGUUCCAAAAGAAAAUAAGCACAAAAGUUGAGUAUGCAAUUGACCUUUCAGGAAUGAUCAAAAUUAGUCCAAUAAGUGAAAGUCUUAUGUACAAUAUUAAGGUCCAAAGUCCAGAAACCGAAACACACUCAAACUCGGCCUGAGUAUUGAGUGGGGAAAAGGAGCAAGGUAGCACAGAUGAGUUCUCUGGAGUAAAAGUCUCAAAGCAGGAGUUUAAGGCAAGGCAGGAGCUGGAGCUGAAAUGCAGUCCAAACUUGGGCAAGAAGGUAGACCGGUGCCCGGUCUAUUCAGGAGUAAGCGCACCGUCAGACCGCUUGGAUUCCAGGAGCUAGAGACAAUGAUGCUUCUCAGAAAGAAGUAAAGUUGACACCACACAGGAAAGUUUCCAGCGCAAAACUUUUAUGGAAGUUCAUAAGCUCCCCCAAACCAGGUGCCUGACUAAUUCUUCCCAAGAGAACUAAGCUUGCCAUAGUCACUGCGCCAAGUGUCUGACUCCCUAAUUCUUCCCAAGAAAACUAAGCUUAGCCAUAGUCACCACGCUCUGCUAAUCUGGCGCUUCUCCGCAAGCUUUGUCUCUGCAAUCUCUCUGUUUUCAAGAAGGCCCUGCGAUCAAACACUAACCCGUCAGGAGAAUCUGGGAGAGCCGGCACUGUCGCAAGGGCAUCCUUAAUUGGCGCUGGCUCAGAAAUGUCAACAGGAGGCAUCUGGAAAGGAGUUGAAUCUUGCUGACAUGGGAAAAAACCAAAAUCUUUCGUUCUGGUCAGCAAUGACCAGAGGGUCAGGGGCCAAAGGUGCCUGAGGCAUCACACAUGUGGAGCCUGGAAUUUUAGUUUUCAGGCCUGUUCCUGGAGUUAUUUGGAGUUCUGAUUCACAAAAAUUGCAUUGGAUAAACCACAUUGACUCUAGGUUAUUAAAUACGGUUUUUUGUGGGCAAGCAGACGGCGACUGCUGGAUGGCAUAUGUUCUGUAUCAGAAACUAGAGCUGAUGUGGUCUAGCCAAUGCAGUUUUCUGAACCAGCACCCCAAAUAACCAAACCGAAUCUAUAAAUGACCAAAAACUGAUUCAUAACCCUUUUGAUACUAAUGUUGGAGUGGGCCCUGCUAAAAAAAAAAAAAGUUUGGGAACCACUGGUAUAGAUACUUAACUACAGGUUUAUAUUUCUGUGUACAGUGGAUGUCCACUGGGGUUUGAUUCCAGGACCUUCCCUUGGAUACCGAAAUCAAGUCACAAUAGUGAAGUAAAAUUGCAACCCUUAUAUAAAAUGGCAAAAAUAUGGUUUUUGGAUUUAUUUAUUUUUUACAAGGACAGGGAAUAUUUUCAAGCCACACAUAGUGGAAACUGUGGAUGCAGAGGUCUUAUUGUAUUGCUAAUGAGUGUGUUUUAGCAUCUGUGUAAUGGGGUGCUAAAGGUGUGUUCAUGUGGAUGUCAUUCAUAUUAAAAAACUUAUAUAAUUAUUUUAUUUUUAUACCCUGCCACCAUCUCCCCAAAGAGACUCGGGGUGGCUUACAUGUGGGAACAAGCCCAAAGCAUACAACAAUAUUUGUAUUCAUCGCCUGUUUUUAACAUUUUAUUUUGUAUGUUGGC